ACAGUCUCCUUAAAGAAUGACUCUAAAGUGGCUGCUGAGUCACAUGUACGUCAGUAGGUGGCAGAGAGGAGAAAGGCUCUGUCUCCACUCAGUGUUCUGACCUAGGAACAUCUGAAUGAUUAGUAUUCUAACAUU
ensembl:snoRNA Gm25274 predicted gene, 25274